UACGUAGGGUGCGAGCGUUGUCCGGAAUUAUUGGGCGUAAAGAGCUCGUAGGCGGUGUGUCGCGUCGGCCGUGAAAACCUGGGGCGUAACUCUGGGCGUGCGGUCGAUACGGGCAUCACUAGAGUUCGGCAGGGGAGACUGGAAUUCCUGGUGUAGCGGUGAAAUGCGCAGAUAUCAGGAGGAACACCGGUGGCGAAGGCGGGUCUCUGGGCCGAUACUGACGCUGAGGAGCGAAAGCAUGGGUAGCGAACAGG
rnacentral:rRNA from 1 species